GUUUCCAUAGUGUAGCGGUUAGUACGUCUGCUUUACAUGCAGAAGAUCCUUGGUUCGUGCCCCAGUGGAACUA
rnacentral:tRNA from 1 species